UACGUAGGGGGCAAGAGUUGUACGGAUUUACUGGGUGUAAAGGGUGCUCAGGCGGAUCUAUAAGUCAGAGGUGAAAUCCCGAGGCUUAACCUUGGAACUGCCUUUGAUACUAUAGUUCUAGAGUUCGGGAGAGGGUGAUGGAAUAUCUGGUGUAGCAGUGAAAUGCGUAGAUAUCAGAUAGAACACCAAUGGCGAAGGCAGUCACCUGGCCCGUAACUGACGAUAAAGCACGAAAGCGUGGGGUGCAAACAGG
rnacentral:rRNA from 1 species